rnacentral:rRNA from 1 species
AACUCUGCCGACAUUGCUCUCAUUCCAAAGAAGGAUGGUGCCGAGGACAUCGGUGAUUUUUGUCCCAUCAGUCUUAUCCAUAUCAUCGCUAAGCUAAUUGUUAAGCUGAUGUCCAACUGGCUUGCCCCGCACAUGAAUGAGAUGGUCUCACACGCCCAAAGUUUGUUCACUAAAAGAAGACGCAUCCAUGACAACUUCUUUGGAUGA